rnacentral:rRNA from 1 species
UACGGAGGGUGCGAGCGUUAAUCGGAAUUACUGGGCGUAAAGGGUGCGUAGGUGGUUUGAUAAGUUGUCUGUGAAAUUCCUGGGCUUAACCUGGGCAUGUCAGAUGAUACUGUUAGACUAGAGUAUAGGAGAGGGUAGUGGAAUUUCCGGUGUAGCGGUGAAAAUGCGUAGAGAUCGGAAGGAACACCAGUGGCGAAGGCGGACUACCUGCCUAAUACUGACACUGAGGCACGAAAGCGUGGGGAGCAAACAGGGAU